rnacentral:rRNA from 1 species
GAUGAACGCUGGCGGCGUGCCUAAUACAUGCAAGUAGAACGCUGAAGCUUGGUGCUUGCACCGAGCGGAAGAGUUGCGAACGGGUGAGUAACGCGUAGGUAACCUGCCUCUUAGCGGGGGAUAGCUAUUGGAAACGAUAGCUAAUACCGCAUAAAAGUCGGCAUUGCAUGAUGUUGACUUGAAAGGUGCAAAUGCAUCACUAAGAGAUGGACCUGCGUUGUAUUAGCUAGUUGGUGAGGUAACGGCUCACCAAGGCGACGAUACAUAGCCGACCUGAGAGGGUGAUCGGCCACACUGGGACUGAGACACGGCCCAGACUCCUACGGGAGGCAGCAGUAGGGAAUCUUCGGCAAUGGACGGAAGUCUGACCGAGCAACGCCGCGUGAGUGAAGAAGGUUUUCGGAUCGUAAAGCUCUGUUGUAAGAGAAGAACGAGUGUGAGAGUGGAAAGUUCACACUGUGACGGUAACUUACCAGAAAGGGACGGCUAACUACGUGCCAGCAGCCGCGGUAAUACGUAGGUCCCGAGCGUUAUCCGGAUUUAUUGGGCGUAAAGCGAGCGCAGGCGGUUAGAUAAGUCUGAAGUUAAAGGCUGUGGCUUAACCAUAGUACGCUUUGGAAACUGUUUAACUUGAGUGCAGAAGGGGAGAGUGGAAUUCCAUGUGUAGCGGUGAAAUGCGUAGAUAUAUGGAGGAACACCGGUGGCGAAAGCGGCUCUCUGGUCUGUAACUGACGCUGAGGCUCGAAAGCGUGGGGAGCAAACAGG